UGAGGAAUAUUGCGCAAUGGGCGAAAGCCUGACGCAGCGACGCCGCGUGGGGGGAUGAAGGUCUUCGGAUUGUAAACCCCUUCGGUAGGGAAGGACGCCUGCAUGACAACUAAGGCGGACGGUACCUCCAGAAGCAGCCACGGCUAACUUCGUGCCAGCAGCCGCGGUAAUACGAAGGUGGCAAGCGUUGUUCGGAUUUACUGGGCGUAAAGGGAGCGUAGGUGGUUAGGUAAGCCCUCCGGGAAAUCUUCAGGCUUAACCUGAAAAGGUCGGGGGGGACUGCCUAGCUAGAGGGCGGGAGAGGAGCGCGGAAUUCCCGGUGUAGCGGUGAAAUGCGUAGAGAUCGGGAGGAAGGCCGGUGGCGAAGGCGGCGCUCUGGAACGUUUCUGACACUGAGGCUCGAAAGCGUGGGGGAGCAAACA
rnacentral:rRNA from 1 species